rnacentral:rRNA from 1 species
AUUGAACGCUGGCGGCAUGCCUUACACAUGCAAGUCGAACGGUAACAGGUCUUCGGAUGCUGACGAGUGGCGAACGGGUGAGUAAUACAUCGGAACGUGCCUAGUGGUGGGGGAUAACUACUCGAAAGAGUGGCUAAUACCGCAUGAGAUCUACGGAUGAAAGCAGGGGAUCGCAAGACCUUGUGCUACUAGAGCGGCCGAUGGCAGAUUAGGUAGUUGGUGGGAUAAAAGCUUACCAAGCCGACGAUCUGUAGCUGGUCUGAGAGGACGAUCAGCCACACUGGGACGGAGAACCGGCCCCGACUCCUACGGGAGGCAGCAGUGGGGAAUUUUGGACAAUGGGCGCAAGCCUGAUCCAGCAAUGCCGCGUGCAGGAUGAAGGCCUUCGGGUUGUAAACUGCUUUUGUACGGAACGAAAAGCCCCGGGUUAAUACCCUGGGGUCAUGACGGUACCGUAAGAAUAAGCACCGGCUAACUACGUGCCAGCAGCCGCCGCCG